GACAGCUUCAGGAUGUGAUAGAAGUGCCAUUGAUGGACAAGACAACCAACAUUGGGUACUUGAGGAGAGGUUGUCUGUGAUGAGUUCGCUUUAUUAAUGACGAAUAUAACACAGAUGGCCUGUUUUCAAUACCACCUGUCACUCCUGUCACUCGGCGGUACAUACCAGGUGUCCCACCACUGCCCGGCAGGUGACACGGAAUUGGUCCUCAGGCGUGGAUGUGCAGGAGCUCCACCUACAUUCCAUCCCAGCUGCUAGUCCUAGGUUGGGACAGUUCCAUUGGGUACAUCCGUGGGAGAGCUAUGGCUGUGAGCAAGGCCUGAGGCCUGACCUGAAGCCAUCGCUGGGCCUGCAGCUGCUCUGUCCAUGUUUGUUGCUUCUUCUCCCUGGAUCUUCUGCUUAAGACAACAAAGAUGUUCGAGCCUAGAAGAUGGCCCCAAAUGCCCAUCUAAGAGGACUAGGACCAUCCAGAACCCAGUGGAAUCCAGCACCCCUGCCACAACCCGAGCCAUCCCCCUCUGAGGCCCCAACCAGUAUCCCCUGCUUCUUACCCUUUCCCCAGCCCUCCCCGCAAGCUUUGCAUUUCAAAUCUCAGCCCCUGAGCAGCCCUUGCAUAGGAACCUGGGGUCGGGGUGGGUAGGCAGACCCAGGGGAUGGAGCAUGGAGGGAAGGAGGGAUUUCUGCUCAUGGCUUUCAAAGUCUCAGUGUAUGAAGCCCUUUGAAUAAUAAACAUAUAUCA